rnacentral:rRNA from 1 species
UACGUAGGGUGCGAGCGUUAAUCGGAAUUACUGGGCGUAAAGCGUGCGCAGGCGGUUAUAUAAGACAGUUGUGAAAUCCCCGGGCUCAACCUGGGAAUUGCAUCUGUGACUGUAUAGCUAGAGUACGGUAGAGGGGGAUGGAAUUCCGAGUGUAGAGGUGAAAUUCGUAGAUAUUCGGAGGAACACCAGUGGCGAAGGCGGCUCACUGGUCCAUUACUGACGCUGAGGUGCGAAAGCGUGGGGAGCAAACAGG